UGCUAUUAGCAAAGAAAGAAGCAAAGAAGACAACAAAGACCAACCUGGUACCAAAGGGUCCCACCAUAUGGUCCCCACUUCUUCCAGCUUCAAAUUGCCAAAUUCAAAAUUUUCGGAAAAAAUUUGACCGGAAAAUUUAUCCCAAAUUGAAAACCAGGACCUGCUAUGCUUUCUCUCUCCUAACUCCCAAAACACAACCAGUUCUAUUCUCUCUCUACUCUCUCUGUCACCACCAGGUCCACCACCACCACCUCCGACGCCGACCUCGAAGCCACCGACGCUAGUACGACGUCACCAUCGCCAGCCAAAGCAAUACGGACGCCACCACCGAAGCCACCAUUCUCUCUCUCUCUCUCUCUCUCUCUCUCUCUCUCUCUCUCUCUCUCUCUCUCUCUCUCUCUCAUAAGGUGAAUUCCUGAUCACUUCACCCUUUAAGAAACGUAUUAUGUCUCCUUGUAGUUGUAAUCUUCUCCAUUUUGUUCACGUUUUGGAAAAACCUCCAAAUCCCAAAUUAGUGUUUUUUUAUAAGAAUAAUGGACAGAGUCCUAAUUUGACUUUAUAACAUCAUAACCUACAUCCCUCUCAAUUUAAUUGAAAAAACAGUAUGAAACAUGUUUAUUCAAUUAAAAUCAAGGUUUCAAUUGAGGAAGAGAAACUCAAUUCGAGUAUCACGUGGUUAAAAGUUAAAACCAUUGGUAUUGCAGAUUGCGUUCACAAGGAAAAGAGAUUGGUGAAAGAAGAACAGAGGCUCAAAGGGGCACAUGCACAGAGGACUUUUCAUGGGCUGCAACCUCCUGAGACCAAUAUGAUGUUUGCGGAUCGCAGUGAUUUCGCAUAUCUUAAUUUGAUGGCCGAGGGGCAAGGAUGCGGAGAUAUGAGAUGAGAUUGCAAGGUAAAAUUUUGAGAAAUUUGCAUAUAAAACAAUACAGCUCAAAGGGUGCAUUGAUCAGGUUGAUGCUGGAGCUCGGAGAAUGGUGAGCUAGCAAGGGCAGGUUUAGUUUGCAGCAAGUAAGGCGGAUUGUGAGCUUGUUGGCUGCAUUGUUUUUGUAACGGAUGGAGUGCGGAAAGCUAAUUCGGGUUAUGGAGUAGCAGCCUGGGUUCAGUUGAACGGUGAAGGUUUAGAGGUGGCCAAUUAGGUGCGGUUUUGUCAUGCGUCUUCAGCAGAUAUGGUGGUGAUCCGAGCGGGGUUGCUAAUUUUUAAGUGGGCUUCUGAGCAUGGUAUUCCUGAAGUUUGCAUUCCUACGGAUUCCACCGUUUUUGUUCAGGGUCUUUGUGAUCCUUCAGGAGCUGAUGUUAUUUGCAAGAAGCUCUUUUGAUCUUUUGUUUUUUGAGCUCCUCUUUUAAUCUUGUAAAGGUCAUAGAGGUUUCGAAACUUGUAAUCUUCCAAUAACCACUUGUGCAAUUUAUUCCA